AGCAGAUGAGCUUGGGACUUGAAGAGGAUAACAAUUCUCUACCAGAGGUGUUCAUAUCAGGCUGCCUCUGAGACACUUAUAACCCUCUGGAAGUACAAGGGAGGUAGAGAGAGAUGAAAGCCCUGACAGCCAAAGGUUUUCUAACUCUUAUGUUUAUAGAUUCUACCUUUUUUUAUUGAUUUAAGUCAGCAUUGCCCAAGUUAAGAACCGAACAGGCUACCUUGUCCAUCACUGCUGAUAAGAAGCCAGUACCUUCUAUAAAAGUUUUUACUAAUAAUCAGGUCAGAAAGAGGCCUUGGGCGAAGUAGACGUUGUCUUCAGUAGCUGGAGGGCUGGGCUGUAACCAGAGGUGCUGUUUUUCCUGACUGAUUCUGUGUUUAUAUAAAAACCUAGUGGUUCUUCUGUUUGAACCUGCGCACAGCAAGACCUCAAGUGUAAACCUGUGCAGAGAAACUUUGUUGGGCCAAGGACUCUUUAUGCCUUCCAGUUUCCAGAGAGAAAGAAAUUAUGGCAGUUGUCACCACCCCAGCUAAUGCAUGUACAAAGCACUGAAGAAGAUGGGAGUGGAGCAUGCUAAGCACUUCAUAGGGAGAACUCGGUACCUUAAAGGAUCAUGCCCUGGAGCACAGACUACUUUCAGAGGCGACUGAAGGGCUUUUACCCACUCUUUACCUUGGUGUCAGAAAGAUCAGUGCACAGCUGAUGGGUCAGUGGUGCUGAGCUGGCAUGCUACUGGUGAACUAGAGAGCAACGGACAUUGGAUAACCCAACAGUGUAAUUCACAUGUUCCUACUGCAUCACAAACUGUUGAAGAUGGAUUUUCAAACCACACAUAAAAAGUCUUUAAAGAAUUGCCUAAAAAGGCUCUCCAUUACCUGGAUAAGUGCUGGAUGCUGGGUUGACACAUAUACAUCCAUUUCUUUAUCCUCUCCUUUUGGUACAACAAGUGCACACUGAGUCUCCAUGUAAAAAUGUUCCUGUCCCCCGAUAUGGAUCUCCCCUGUUCCAAAGAUAAAGACUCAAGUGCUGCUGAUAGGCUGGGUGGUAAAAGGGGGAGGAAUGAGGAGGCUAGGCCAAGUAUGCACAUUACACAAAAUAUAACAUUCAAUGUACUUGAUCAACUCAGCUGCUGGUGCUACCCUUGUUAAGGUGCAACCAGGCAAGAGAAACCAGCUGCAGCAGGUGCAACACCUAGCAUAAAAAUAUGAGCCAAACUCUCUGCUGGUGUAAACUGGCCCUGCUCCAUUGAUAUCAACAGAACUGUGCCAAUUUACACUACCAGGUAAUCUGCCACACAUAUUGUCAAUAUCGAGCUAAGCGUCUUGAGUCUGGAAUGUGGAAGGCUUGAGAGUGUUGACAGGAUCUUGAACCAGCUUGUGUUAAUCAUAUCAGACAUGGAAUACAGGAAUUUUUUUGUGGAAGGGAAGUGCUAUUCGUGGUUGUUCAGGAUCAGCACCAAACAGGCCUUGUCUGAUGCUGAGGAAGAAAGGGAGGAAUUGGUGGUUGAAAGGGAACACAAUAACUGGAGGGUAAAAUCCAAAUUCUGCAGGGCAU